UACGUAGGGUGCGAGCGUUAAUCGGAAUUACUGGGCGGAAAGCGUGCGCAGGCGGCGCGUUAAGACAGGUGUGAAAGCCCCGAGCUUAACUUGGGAAUUGCGCUUGUGACUGGCGGGCUGGAGUGUGGCAGAGGGAGGUGGAAUUCCACGUGUAGCAGUGAAAUGCGUAGAGAUGUGGAGGAACACCGAUGGCGAAGGCAGCCUCCUGGGCCAGCACUGACGCUCAUGCACGAAAGCGUGGGGAGCAAACAGG
rnacentral:rRNA from 1 species